rnacentral:rRNA from 1 species
AUGCCUGUUGAAAUUACUGCUUGCAGCAAAUGGAUUCAGAUCACAUCCUAGUGGCGAAAGGGUGAGUAACACGUGAGUUAUCUACCUCAGAGACUGGGAUAACUACUGGAAACGGUAGCUAAUACCGGAUGAUAUAUGGAACGAUACGUUGUUCUAUAGUAAAAGGUGCCUUUAAAGCAUCACUUUGAGAUGAGCUUGCGACGUAUUAGCUAGUUGGUGAGGUAAUGGCUUACCAAGGCGACGAUGCGUAGCCGACCUGAGAGGGUGAUCGGCCACACUGGGACUGAGACACGGCCCAGACUCCUACGGGAGACAGCAGUUAGGGAUAUUCGUCAAUGGGGGAAACCCUGAACGAGCAAUGCCGCGUGAGUGAUGACAAGUUCUAUGGAUUGUAAAACUCUGUUGUUAGGGACGAACGACCUAUAUAGGAAAUGAUAUAGGAGUGACUGUACCUUUCAAGAAAGCUCCGGCUAACUACGUGCCAGCAGCUGC